rnacentral:rRNA from 1 species
GAUGAACGCUGGCGGCGUGCCUAAUACAUGCAAGUCGAGCGAACGGACGAGAAGCUUGCUUCUCUGAUGUUAGCGGCGGACGGGUGAGUAACACGUGGAUAACCUACCUAUAAGACUGGGAUAACUUCGGGAAACCGGAGCUAAUACCGGAUAAUAUUUUGAACCGCAUGGUUCAAAAGUGAAAGACGGUCUUGCUGUCACUUAUAGAUGGAUCCGCGCUGCAUUAGCUAGUUGGUAAGGUAACGGCUUACCAAGGCAACGAUGCAUAGCCGACCUGAGAGGGUGAUCGGCCACACUGGAGCUGAGACACGGUCCAGACUCCUACGGGAGGCAGCAGUAGGGAAUCUUCCGCAAUGGGCGAAAGCCUGACGGAGCAACGCCGCGUGAGUGAUGAAGGUCUUCGGAUCGUAAAACUCUGUUAUUAGGGAAGAACAUAUGUGUAAGUAACUGUGCACAUCUUGACGGUACCUAAUCAGAAAGCCACGGCGAACUACGU